GUUUCUCCUCUUCAACUGCUGGUUUCUCUUCAAAUGCUAGUUCAUUUUGUUCCUGUGUUGGUUCUUCAGGUGUUUCUUCAGUUAUUGGGUUUUCAGGUUUCUCUUCAAAUGCUUGUUCAUUUGGUGUUUCUUCCUGUGUUGGUUCUUCAGGUGCUUCUUCAGUUACUGGUUUUUCAGGUUUAUCUUCAACUGCUGGUUCUUCUAGUGUCUCCUCAAUCGAUGGUUCUUCAAGUUCCUCUCUUGCUACUGGUUUUUCAGAUUUCUCUUCAACUGCUGGUUGUUCAGGUUUUUUCAUAACCACUGACUCUUCAGAUCUCUCUUCAAUUGCUGGUUCUUCAGUUUUUUCCUCAACUGAUUCAUAAUCGGCAAUAGCAUUGUUGGUAAUGCAUUGAAUUGCAUUGUCUGUCUUGUUCUUUGACUUUUCAAUUGGUGAAUUCUGCAAAAAUAAAUAAAUUGAAGUUUCAUUUAGUCUUUCAAUGGAUAAAACAGAUGUAAAUUCGUUACGCAUAUAAAGCUAAUAUGAUGGAUAAACUUUGUGAAAGUGUUUAAUCCUCAC
rnacentral:lncRNA from 1 species